GCCGAACCUUGAAUCCUUUGAAUUCUAAAGCUUCCCAAUUAAUGAGACUCAUUAUGACAAGCGUCGAAGGCAGUCCAUCAAAGCAUCGGUGUGUUCAGGCUUCCCGGCGGUCACACGAACAUAGCCUUUUAAUUCUUUCUUGUCAUAGUGACGAAUCAUCACCCCCAUUCUUGCCAGGUCCUCCUUCAAUUUCUUUGCAUCCUUUCCUGAAGUCACCUCG
rnacentral:misc_RNA from 1 species